GGACUAUCAUGUCGGUCGUGCCUCGGUACGUACUGGUAUUGUUGGUUUCUCCCUUCUGACGAACCAUGAUGUCAUUUAUUUGGUGUUGUGGGGAAUCAGGACUUUUACUUUGAAGAAAUCGGAGUGUUUAAAGCAGGCUCACGCUUGAAUACAUUAGCAUGGAAUAACGGAAUAGGACGUUUGAUUCUAUUUUGUUGGUUUCUAGGAUCGACGUA
rnacentral:rRNA from 1 species